rnacentral:tRNA from 1 species
CGUCGUUACAACAUUUAACUACAGGAAC